rnacentral:rRNA from 1 species
GACGAACGCUGGCGGCGUGCUUAACACAUGCAAGUCGAACGGAAAGGCCCUGCUUUUGUGGGGUGCUCGAGUGGCGAACGGGUGAGUAACACGUGAGUAACCUGCCCUUGACUUUGGGAUAACUUCAGGAAACUGGGGCUAAUACCGGAUAGGAGCUCCUGCUGCAUGGUGGGGGUUGGAAAGUUUCGGCGGUUGGGGAUGGACUCGCGGCUUAUCAGCUUGUUGGUGGGGUAGUGGCUUACCAAGGCUUUGACGGGUAGCCGGCCUGAGAGGGUGACCGGCCACAAUGGGACUGAGAUACGGCCCAGACUCCUACGGGAGGCAGGAGUGGGGAAUAUUGCACAAUGGGCGGAAGCCUGAUGCAGCAACGCCGCGUGCGGGAUGACGGCCUUCGGGUUGUAAACCGCUUUCGCCUGUGACGAAGCGUGAGUGACGGUAAUGGGUAAAGAAGCACCGGCUAACUACGUG